AGGCGAUGAAGAAAGAAAACAUUUCUCGAUUCUGAUUAUUAGGUGCUUGUGAUUUGAUGAUGGAUGAUUUAAAUCAUCCAUUUUUCUCUUCACGCAGCAUCAUUUGAUGACCGAAUUUGUGCGUGUCUGAGCCUC